rnacentral:rRNA from 1 species
AGCGAACGCUGGCGGCAUGCCUAACACAUGCAAGUCGCACGGGGGGGCUUCGGCCUCCCAGUGGCGGACGGGUGAGGAACGCGUAGGGACCUGUCGAGGGGUGGGGGAUAACCGCGGGAAACUGCGGCUAAUACCGCAUGACGCCGCGGCGUGACAGCCGGGGCCAAAGGCGAAAGCCGCCCGCCGAGGGGCCUGCGUCCGAUUAGCUGGUUGGCGGGGUAGCGGCCCACCAAGGCGUCGAGCGGUAGCUGGUCUGUGAGGGUGAUCAGCCACACCGGGACUGAGACACGGCCCGGACUCCUACGGGAGGCAGCAGUGGGGAAUAUUGGACAAUGGGCGCAAGCCUGAUCCAGCAAUGCCGCGUGGGUGAAGAAGGUCUUCGGAUUGUAAAGCCCUUUCGGCGGGGACGAUGGUGACGGUACCCGCAGAAGAAGCCCCGGCUAACUUCGUG